rnacentral:rRNA from 1 species
GGAAUUAUCCACAGCAAUGUCAUAAGAACUCCUGGGAAGUACUAGGAUGGGUGACCUCCUGGGAAGUCCUCGUGAAAGGGUUUCA